GACGAACGCUGGCGGCGUGCUUAACACAUGCAAGUCGAACGGAAAGGCCCUGCUUUUGUGGGGUGCUCGAGUGGCGAACGGGUGAGUAACACGUGAGUAACCUGCCCUUUACUUUGGGAUAACUUCAGGAAACUGGGGCUAAUACCGGAUAGGAGCUCCUGCUGCAUGGUGGGGGUUGGAAAGUUUCGGCGGUUGGGGAUGGACUCGCGGCUUAUCAGCUUGUUUGUGGGGUAGUGGCUUACCAAGGCUUUGACGGGUAGCCGGCCUGAGAGGGUGACCGGCCACAUUGGGACUGAGAUACGGCCCAGACUCCUACGGGAGGCAGCAGUGGGGAAUAUUGCACAAUGGGCGGAAGCCUGAUGCAGCAACGCCGCGUGCGGGAUGACGGCCUUCGGGUUGUAAACCGCUUUCGCCUGUGACGAAGCGUGAGUGACGGUAAUGGGUAAAGAAGCACCGGCUAACUACGUG
rnacentral:rRNA from 1 species